UGGCUUUACCUGAAGACGGUGCGCUAACCGCAAGGGGGCAGGCGACCACGGUAGGAUCAGCGACUGGGGUGAAGUCGUAACAAGGCAGCCGUAGGUGAACCUGCAGAAGGAUCA
rnacentral:rRNA from 1 species